GAUGAACGCUGGCGGCGUGCCUAAUACAUGCAAGUCGAGCGAACAGAUAAGGAGCUUGCUCCUUUGACGUUAGCGGCGGACGGGUGAGUAACACGUGGGUAACCUACCUAUAAGACUGGGAUAACUUCGGGAAACCGGAGCUAAUACCGGAUAACAUUUGGAACCGCAUGGUUCUAAAGUGAAAGAUGGUUUUGCUAUCGCUUAUAGAUGGACCCGCGCCGUAUUAGCUAGUUGGUAAGGUAACGGCUUACCAAGGCGACGAUACGUAGCCGACCUGAGAGGGUGAUCGGCCACACAGGAACUGAGACACGGUCCAGACUCCUACGGGAGGCAGCAGUAGGGAAUCUUCCGCAAUGGGCGAAAGCCUGACGGAGCAACGCCGCGUGAGUGAUGAAGGGUUUCGGCUCGUAAAACUCUGUUAUUAGGGAAGAACAAAUGUGUAAGUAACUGUGCACGUCUUGACGGUACCUAAUCAGAAAGCCACGGCUAACUACGUGCCAGCCGCCGCGGUAA
rnacentral:rRNA from 1 species